rnacentral:tRNA from 1 species
GAUGAGGUGGCCAAGUGGUUAAGGCGAUGGACUGCUAAUCCAUUGUGCUCUGCACCAUGGGUUCAAAUCCCAUCCUUAUUG